rnacentral:rRNA from 1 species
CCAGCAGCUGCGGUAAUUCCAGCUCCAAUAGCGUAUAUUAAAGUUGUUGCAGUUAAAAAGCUCGUAGUUGGAUUUCUGGUUUGAGCGUCCGGUCCGUCUCCUUUGGAGAUGUGUUACUAUGGAUGUUUGAGCCAUUUUUUGUGAGGAUGUUUUUCUGCCAUUAAGUUGGUGGUUGAAUAGACUUGCAUCGUUUACUGUGAAAAAAUUAGAGUGUUUAAAGCAGGCGUUUGCUCAUUGAAUACAUUAGCAUGGAAUAAUAAGAUACGACCUUGGUGGUCUAUUUUGUUGGUUUGCACACCAGGGUAAUGAUUAAUAGGGACAGUUGGGGGUAUUCAUAUUUCAGCGUCAGAGGUGAAAUUCUUGGAUCGCUGAAAGAUGAGCUUAGGCGAAAGCAUUUACCAAGGAUGUUUUCAUUAAUCAAGAACGAAAGU